GAUGACUAUGUUCAUAAGUGCAACUAUAUCUCAAGCGACGACCGUGGUGAUACAUAAUAAUCUUGAAGGUGGUUUAUCGCUAGGAUACCAUUGUAAAUCAGGGGAUGAUGAUCUUGGAUACAAGAGUUUGGCACCAGCCAAAAGAGAGACAGAGAAUUUGAAAAGUUUGGAUGCACACAAUGCGAAUGGAGGAUAAGCAAAAAGGGACCAUGCAAACUUAACAAAUACAAUAAAAUGUUUGAUGUUUGUUAUCCCUGGGAUGCUUAACAAACCCAUAUAAUAUCAAUAUGUAUAACUCUUACUAUUGAAAACAGAAUAAUAAUAAUAAUAAUAAAAUAUAUCUUUCAAC